AAAACACGAACGAACGCUGGCGGCGUGCCUAACACAUGCAAGUCGAACGUGAUCCGCCCUUCGGGGUGGUGAAAGUGGCGCACGGGUGAGUAACGCGUGGAUAAUCUGCCCGAGGAUUUGGGAUAACAUCUCGAAAGGGGUGCUAAUACCGAAUAAGCCCACGGGGUCUACGGAUCUUGCGGGAAAAGGGGGGGACCUUCGGGCCUCCUGUCCUUGGAUGAGUCUGCGUACCAUUAGCUAGUUGGUGGGGUAAUGGCCUACCAAGGCGACGAUGGUUAGCUGGUCUGAGAGGAUGAUCAGCCACACUGGAACUGAGACACGGUCCAGACUCCUACGGGAGGCAGCAGUGGGGAAUUUUGCGCAAUGGGGGAAACCCUGACGCAGCAACGCCGCGUGGGUGAUGAAGGCCUUCGGGUCGUAAAGCUCUGUCUGGAGGGAAGAAAUGAUUGGGAGCUAAUACCUCUUGAUCUUGACGGUACCUCUGAAGGAAGCACCGGCUAACUCCGUGCCAG
rnacentral:rRNA from 1 species